rnacentral:rRNA from 1 species
UACGUAGGGGGCUAGCGUUGUCCGGAUUUAUUGGGCGUAAAGAGCGUGUAGGCGGCCAUGUAGGUCCGGUGUGAAAACUCGAGGCUUAACCUCGAGAUGUCAUCGGGAAACCAUUUGGCUAGAGUCCGGAAGAGGCGAGUGGAAUUCCCGGUGUAGCGGUGAAAUGACGCAGAUAUCAGGAGGAACACCGGUGGCGAAGGCGGGUCUCUGGGCAGUAACUGACGCUGAGGAGCGAAAGCGUGGGGAGCGAACAGG